GAUGGGGAGAACAGGAGGAACCUGCAAAGGAGAAUGAAAAGGAGUGGAGUCAGGUGUCUCGGCAGCCAAAGGAGGAAGUGGUCGCCUCUGACAGACUGUGCCGACAGGCCAAGUAAGGCACAGCUAAAGAAAUGUGUUACUGACAAGCCUGCAGGCCACAUGGCGAGAUGGAAAGCAAGCAGUAAAGACCAAAGAAACUCGUUGAGGACAAUGGAAGAUGGGCUCAGAAGAAAAUGGAUACAGCUGAAGCUAGAUGGGUCAUGGGUGAAAGCAGGACAGGACCUCAUUCUCCAACAGAUACCAGGUCCAUAAAAGCCCUGGGGCUCAGUCAGAGCAGGGCAGAAGAGAGAGAGACUAUGGGACAACCAGCAGCAGAGAGGAACUACCCUCCCUGCUGAGAGCUUCAGAGACAUGCAGAGAUGUCUGAACAAGUUGCUGCGGAGAGGAGCCACGCUCUCCAGGGCCUCCUCUCUGCUGAGAGCAGCAGACAGUGGAAUGAGCAGUGGGCAGAGAGGAGCCACCCUCCCCAGGGCCACCUCUUUGCUGAAAGCUGAACACUCCAUGGGAUGACCUGCCUACAGAGAGAAGCUACCCACUGUGGGUCUCCUCUGAGCUGUUCUAACACUAAAUAAACCUCCUUUUCACCUU
rnacentral:lncRNA from 10 species